AUUGAACGCUGGCGGCAUGCCUUACACAUGCAAGUCGAACGGCAGCGGACCUUCGGGUGCCGGCGAGUGGCGAACGGGUGAGUAAUAUAUCGGAACGUACCUUUCAGUGGGGGAUAACGUAGCGAAAGUUACGCUAAUACCGCAUAUUCUGUGAGCAGGAAAGCAGGGGAUCGCAAGACCUUGCGCUGAUUGAGCGGCCGAUAUCAGAUUAGCUAGUUGGUGAGGUAAAGGCUCACCAAGGCGACGAUCUGUAGCGGGUCUGAGAGGAUGGAUCCGCCACACUGGAACUGAGACACGGUCCAGACUCCUACGGGAGGCAGCAGUGGGGAAUUUUGGACAAUGGGCGCAAGCCUGAUCCAGCCAUGCCGCGUGAGUGAAGAAGGCCUUCGGUUGUAAGACUCUUUCGGCCGGGAGAAAUACGCACGGGUUAAUACCCUGUGUGG
rnacentral:rRNA from 1 species